rnacentral:rRNA from 1 species
GUGAGGAAUAUUGCGCAAUGGAGGCAACUCUGACGCAGCCAUGCCGCGUGCAGGAAGAAGGCGCUACGCGUUGUAAACUGCUUUUAACCGGGAAGAAACCCCAGGACGUGUCCUGGGUUGACGGUACCGGAGGAAUAAGCACCGGCUAACUUCGUGCCAGCAGCCGCGGUAAUACGAAGGGUGCAAGCGUUAUCCGGAUUCAUUGGGUUUAAAGGUUGCGUAGGCGGAGCGUUAAGUCAGUGGUGAAAUCCUGCAGCUUAACUGUAGACUUGCCAUUGAUACUGGUGCUCUUGAGUGCGCUUGAAGUGGGCGGAAUGUGCCGUGUAGCGGUGAAAUGCUUAGAUAUGGCACAGAACACCAAUUGCGAAGGCAGCUCACUAAGGCGAUACUGACGCUGAGGCACGAAAGCGUGGGGAUCGAACAGGAUUAGAAACCCCAGUAGUCC